GGCAUGAAAGUUUGAUGCGGAUAGCUCAGUCAGUCGUUGGUGAUUGUGUCUGGGUAUAGGGUCGAUGGCUGGAGACCUACCUUAGGAGUAAUACUGUUUUAUUCAGGUGGCCCAUCCUAUUCCGAAUGUUAAUUUGCUCUGUUCUUCAUAUUUAGAUUUUUUUGCCGAAUUUCUAGCUCCCACGUCUCUAUUGCGGGCUCUUUGUCGCUGUUUCACUAAGCUUUGGAAGCUGAGUCUGGAAAUCUCAUUCUUUGGUCCCAGGAUCUCAGCUGGAAAGAGAAAUCCGCGCAGCGGCCUCUUAAGCUCGCGGACUGGAAGCCCUGGUCCUGAUCCUCCGCAGCCUGGAGGGAGCUCCCGCAGGGCCACAGGGAAGAGGAGGCUGAGCAGCCCAGAGGGAUGAGUGUCAGACGCCGGGCUCCCCUCGACCGGCCAGGACCCCAGCCCCAAGGAGAAGAGGACGCCUUAGGACCAGACAGAUGCAAAAAUGUUUUCUUCUGAGCAGUAGAACACUUCGGAUGAGGCUCAUGGUGGGCGUUGAGAGCGCGCUAAGAUGUCCCUCCAGGCGCUCAGGACCAUCGCUCUGAUUUUCAUAUUUUGAAAAUAUGAGAAUUUUCAGCAGUUACAAAGGACUGAAAAACACCGAAGUCUUUGAGGCAGUCAGUUUGGAGGAUGUGGGGAGGCUGGACUGAAGGGCCUGGGAUGGAAAAUUGCACAGUGAAAGAGGAGCAGGUGCAUUGAAAGUGCUAUCCCUAGAGAGAAGUGCGGGCGGGGCCAGGACGCUGCCGUCACUGCUGCUGUUCACCACCAGCUUUGCAGCGUGUGAGACCUUCAUAACAGUGUAUAGUGCAUGCAGAUCACUCGUGUUUACAAGCAACUGAUCACAAUUCCUUACAGAUUUCUUUGUUCCUUCCCCACUCCCACUGCUUCACUUGUCUAAACUUAAAGGAAAAAAUAAAACGUUUGUUUUUACA